rnacentral:rRNA from 1 species
UACGAAGGGGGCUAGCGUUGUUCGGAUUUACUGGGCGUAAAGCGCACGUAGGCGGAUCGUUAAGUCGGGGGUGAAAUCCUGGAGCUCAACUCCAGAACUGCCUUUGAUACUGAGGAGCUUGAGUCCGGGAGAGGUGAGUGGAACUGCGAGUGUAGAGGUGAAAUUCGUAGAUAUUCGCAAGAACACCAGUGGCGAAGGCGGCUCACUGGCCCGGUACUGACGCUGAGGUGCGAAAGCGUGGGGAGCAAACAGGG